rnacentral:lncRNA from 1 species
UUUUCUGAACUUUAUUUGUAUGUAAUUAAAUCUGUACAAAGCAACAUGGUUUAGGAAAACGAACAGAGAUGAGACAGUAGAAAGCACUCAAUGCAAAUCCCAGUAUCAGUUACUGCUUUAGACAUUUUGGAAAGAGAAAGCAUCAAUGAUAUUUGCCUUAAUUACACUCUGCAUCAAAAUAGAAAUCAUUCCUACUCCUCUGCUUCACUGGGCUACUUAUAGAAUUAAGCUGCAAAGCCAUAACAAGGCCUGGCCAUAAUUUCUAGAACAAGAAGUCAGUCCAAGUUGCCUUCAGCUCAACUUUCCAUGUACCUAAAGAGCCCUUGUACUUCAGGAUUUUCCAGAACUUCCCUGUCAUGGACUCUCUGUUCUCAAUUCAAGGUUGCUGUUGAGGUCGAGAGCUGCCUUGACCUCAUUAGGCUACCUUAUUCUUUCUGAUUUCCAAUUUGCUGUUCACCAUACAGGACCAUACCACAUGGCCCCAGAAGACAUCAAGUCACAGAGCAAGAAUGCCCCUGGGGUGUGUGGCAGCAAUGCACCACCAGCCCAGUUUGAAAACUGCGCUAAAAGUCCCUUAAUUUUCUGUUGGACGCUUGCACUGCACAAGGAGCUGAGCUGCACCCUUAGCUGAUAUCUUUUCUGAAGGUACAGUCAUGCUUCCAAGCAAGAAUUCCCAAUGGAACCAGGUGCUAUGUGCGUGUGAGCAAAUGUCCAGUCCUAAUAUGUGGUAUGUGUGGUCCUCAGAGUGGGAUAUUUGCCUUUUGGUGACACUUUCAGAGUGUACAUCUGUGAUUAAUUACAAAAGUGUCAUUUAUUGCAGUCUCAACAAUAAUAUUUGGGAUUCAAUAGAUUUUUGCAGGACAUGAUCUGAAACUGUUUCUAGAAUGCACUUAUCGCUGAAACCUUACAUUUCUGCAACUAUAAUGGACUUCACCUCUAAAUAUCUCCAAAAUAUAAUUAAGACCACCUGAUAGAGGGAGUAGAUUUUGAAAACAUUUUUGCUGGAAAGGAAGACAAAUUCAGUCUUGGGAGUGGGGUCUCUAAUUCUCUUUCCUUUCCUCUGAAAUAAUAGCAUGAAGUAAAACCAUUGCAGGAAGUGUCCACAAAAUCUUAAUUUGAUGUACAAGGUCUGAAAAGCCAGAGCUGGAAGGAGAACCAUGAGGCAAAAAUGUGUUUACACAGAUGCUGGAUUGU